CAGUCGCCGCGGUAAAACGAAGGGGGCUAGCGUUGCUCGGAAUUACUGGGCGUAAAGGGCGCGUAGGCGGCACUGUUAGUCAGGCGUGAAAUUCCCGGGCUCAACCUGGGGACUGCGCUUGAUACGGCAGAGCUUGAGGAUGGAAGAGGGUCGUGGAAUUCCCAGUGUAGAGGUGAAAUUCGUAGAUAUUGGGAAGAACACCGGUGGCGAAGGCGGCGACCUGGUCCAUUACUGACGCUGAGGCGCGACAGCGUGGGGAGCAAACAGGAUUAGAUACCCCAGUAGUCCCUGUCUCUUAUAA
rnacentral:rRNA from 1 species